UACGGGGGGGGCAAGCGUUGUUCGGAAUUACUGGGCGUAAAGGGCUCGUAGGCGGCCAACUAAGUCAGACGUGAAAUCCCUCGGCUUAACCGGGGAACUGCGUCUGAUACUGGAUGGCUUGAGGUUGGGAGAGGGAUGCGGAAUUCCAGGUGGUAGCGGUGAAAUUCGUAGAUAUCGGGAGGAACACCGGUGGCGAAGGCGGCCAUCUGGCUGGUAACUGACGCUGAGACGGCGAAAGCGUGGGUAGCAAAC
rnacentral:rRNA from 1 species